rnacentral:rRNA from 1 species
GACGAAGGGGGCUAGCGUUGUUCGGAAUUACUGGGCGUAAAGCGUGCGCAGGCGGCGCCGCAAGUCAGGCGUGAAAUCCCCGAGCUUAACUUGGGAAUGGCGCUUGAAACUACGGUGCUGGCGUGUGGCAGAGGGAGGUGGAAUUCCACGUGUAGCAGUGAAAUGCGUAGAGAUGUGGAGGAACACCGAUGGCGAAGGCAGCCUCCUGGGCCAACACUGACGCUCAUGCACGAAAGCGUGGGGAGCAAACAGG